rnacentral:rRNA from 1 species
CAGCAGCCGCGGGAAUACGAAGGGGGCUAGCGUUGUUCGGAUUUACUGGGCGUAAAGCGCACGUAGGCGGAUCGAUCAGUCAGGGGUGAAAUCCCAGAGCUCAACUCUGGAACUGCCUUUGAUACUGUCGAUCUGGAGUAUGGAAGAGGUGAGUGGAAUUCCGAGUGUAGAGGUGAAAUUCGUAGAUAUUCGGAGGAACACCAGUGGCGAAGGCGGCUCACUGGUCCAUUACUGACGCUGAGGUGCGAAAGCGUGGGGAGCAAACAGGAUUAGAUACCCGUGUAGUCCCUGUCUCUUAUAC